UGCCCCUGUUAAGCUUCAACACGACCACAGCUUGUCAGGCAGGGGCACACUGAGCUGUGGGGCAGGUUAUUCAUUUAUCAAAGCAGCAGCUUGUGCAGGAGCCCAGAGAUCUCAGGGAACCAUUUGCUGCUACUGGGGCAGAGUCCAUUUCCUCAUUUUUAGCAGAUGCUGCAGCACCAUCCCAUCCCUCAGCCACUGUCUCUCUGCUGAUGCUAUUCCGUUGUUUUGCGAGGGGUUGGUUAUGAUAUUUUUUUCUUUUUCUGCAGCAGCCCAGCUGGAAAUGUAAGAUAAUAUCCAAAAUAAUUAAGAGCUCCUCACACUAUAUUUCCUGCUCGCAUUCUGUCUCCAAGACAUCUUCCAUGGGAGCAAUUCAGCUGUAUGUAUACACUGGGACCAAUUCUGCCCUACUGAAAAUAUGUGGAAUUUCAUGGCUGACUUCUCCAGGAUCAGGAUCAGUCCACAGAGAAAAUAUAGUGUGCUGUGUGUGUUCGGACCAUCAAACCCCAAAGCUGACUCUACACCCUAUGCACAGAACCUCACCCUGCCCAGAAGAGAUGUGUAGGUCGAGACUCAUCAUGGAACUGUGCACUGCCUGGAGCACAAGGUUGCAUUGUCUUUAUUGUAUUUGCUGCUGUGUUGUGGCUGAAAAUGCUUUUACUGUUGACAAAACCUAUCUAGCUCCUCAUAAACCCCACAUACCUCUAUGGCCCCCUAGUUGGGCAGAUAUUCCACACUGUUGGCAGCCCAUAAGCUAUAUUAUCUCUGUGCCUCUGCUUUCUUUUGCUGUGCCUUUGUUUUGGUUAAUUUUUAGGUGUAAAAAGUUCACUUGUAAGCAGUCAACAAGGAAAUCACUGAGGCCUAUGCAUGAGAUUGCCAUCUGUGACUGAGAUGGAGGAACACCAGCUUGUGGGGUAGUGAUGGUACAAGGAUGGCUCAUAAAGAUAGAAGAUGAAAUAAAAAAUCAUAGCUAUCUGUACUGGAAUUAAGAGGCAGGACUUGGAUGCUGAGGCCACCUCUAAAAUGGCUGUCCAGGCACUGAGAGACGAUAGUUCCUAUGUUAAGCGUAAGGUAUACAUGCAAGGAGAACAAUCCCAAAAGAUAUUGGAACGUUUAAAUGAAUGCAGCUGUGAAAGUUCUUUGAAGGAACAGCAAAGUUAACACAGAUUAAUUGAGUUACUGUUCUCAUGAAUUAAUUUUCCACAAAAGAGCUCUAAGGUUGCAAUGAAAACUGAUAUUUGUUUUCAACUCAGUUCAGUGUUCAGUGCCUGAAUGCAAACUUGGCUCCAUCCAUCAACACCCUGGUGCACCAGCCCCAGAAGUUUCUUCUCCCUCUCUCCUUAUGCAUAUAUAUAUAUGGAAAUGUGUCUGAGGUGAGAAAAUUCAAGAUCUGAGGAUGACAAAGAUUAAUGCAAAGCCUGAUGAAGACCACAGCAGUUGACCAAUGAAUUUUCUACCCAAGGGCUGCUGAUCCAAAGGGGCUCCUUGGCAGCAAGAGAUGCAUGGCUGAUUGUCCUGCACAUUACAAACAAUAGGGUAGCCUCCCCAUAGCAGUGAUUCCCACCUGGGAGGAGCUGACAGCCUGGGGGUGGACUUGUCCACAUUUACACUGUGUCUCCAAUGUGCUCUCCUACAGUCAUCUGUCAGGUGUGUGCAACAUGGAUGAAUGGUAAAACCUUCUCACAGUCCUUAUUGGACAUCCCUCUCUCCUUGUCCUUGGAAAGCAGUACAGGACAUUCCUUUAGCUACACCUUUGCAUUUUUGAGGGUUUGAAAAGGAGCUGAAAUGCUGUUUCAGAAGAGUUCAGUGUUUCAUCCCUAAGAGGCCAGACAAGCCCACUGAAGCACAAGAUGACAGGGAGAAGAGAGGGAAAGUCCGAAGAGCACAAAAACACAGUGGAAGCACAACAUAAUUUGGACAAGUAAAAGUGCUUAGUUCUGUUUAAUGUUGUAAGUUCUGUAUCAUUUUCAAGUUAUAAUUUAUUUUUUGUCACUAAAUUAUGAUUUUUCCCAUUUAAAAGAUUGAGUUUUGUCCAAAGCAAAACAUUUUUAUCUAAAGAGCUAGAGUGCUUUAGAACAGGUCCCUUUUCCAGGUGUUAUGAAGCAGUGAGGAAAAAAAGAUCCCUGAGGGCAGUUAGGCAAUGGGGUGGGACCUUCUUUCCACCUGUGAACACUAAUGUGGGCAAGAUUUUUGGGCGUUGCAAUGCAACACAUUCACGUGCUCUGGAGAAAUGCUGACCUCUUGCAGAUGCAGCUGGAAGCAAUAGGAGAGGUGCUCUGUAUGUGCCUUAUGGCAUGUCACAUAUUGCUGAUCGCAAAGACUGAAAUCCCAGCAGUCUCAGACUAGAUAUCCAAAAUUAGCAAACUGUUUUGUUCUGCAUCUGUUUGUACUUCAGCCUCCUGCAACGGAAUUAGUAGGCUACUGUCCUGCCAUUGUAGCAUGGAGGUGAAGAUCAAUGGUCAUUCCCCACAAAAGUGGGGAAAUAAUGACUGUGGUUAGGAAAUCAGUGUGGAGAUUAGCAGCUCUGUCCUCAGCACAAUGUUUAAACCUUGCUGGUAAAUAUAAACAACCGCACAAUUAACAGCGGUGUUGAGAUAAAAUAUUGACCAACUGUACUCAUUAAAGUAGCCCUGAUUGAUCUGUGCACCAAAUGGGUCAGGGUCCUGUGGAAAUAUGAGUGUGCCACGGUAUAAUUAGAGAGCAUAUCAAUAUAGUGCAUGAGAGCAAAAGAGAAGAUUGUCCAGACACAUUGACUUAUGAAUGCUUGACAUUGCAAUGUUAACAACAAAUGAUAAUAAGUUAUUAACAUUUAUAUUUUGUGUGUGAUGGGUAUGAAAUGUAACAGAAAGCUUUUCUAACAUUUAUGUCAGGUACGCUUUGGCAAGACAUGGGCCUAAUCAGUAGAUAAGAUGCAUGCAGGUGUCUUUCAGCUCGGCUUUCCUGGGACCCUAAAUUUCAAUUGCUGCUGGGAACAGUGUUUUUCCAAUCACAGAAAAUAAGCUGAGAGGUUUAAACUAAAACAAACUUCUCUGGUGAGAAAGAAAAUUCAAAGAAACUGAAAGUAUGGAAAAAAAUCUGAAUAAGAAAAAGAUUGCAAAUUAACCUACCCCUUCCUCAGAGACUUGGCCCCAUUUCUGAGCACUGGGGUCCUCCUAGAAAGGGAUUGUGGCAGCAACCAUCAAACACCCCAUGGUGCCAUCAGAUGAUCCUGCUGAUUUGGAUGUCAUGCCCUUUGUCAUUUACUGCCCCUGAACUAGCUAGUGAAUUUGCUGGUCGCUGCUCAUAGAAAGUCAAGAAAACAGAGUGCUAAUGCCAUUUGAAAAACAGAAGAUUAUGUCAGGGUGCAGAGGAACAGUAGCCUAAGUGACAUCAUCUUGUGAAAGCAUUCUGGCAUGCUGGGGUUUGUUGUCCAGAAAUACCUUUUGUAGGGCUAAACUAUUUCCUUAGCUUGCAAACUAAGCAGAGAAGAGGUUUUUUUUCGUUCAGUUUUCCAUGAAUGUGAGUGGAAGAGAAAACCACGAGCACUGUAGUGAUGCACAUCUCAUGAUUUCGAGGCCAGAUAACUGCAUCAGUGCAAUGCUCUGUGCACUGAGGGGAUGUGUCAUGCCAGCCAUGGGUAACAGCACCACUUUUAGACAUGUUGUGUUUGUCUUAUGCUCCAGGAGGCAGGGAACUGCUCAUCCAGCUGGCUAGCAUGAAAUUAAAAGCAUCUAAGACCAGGUUUCAUAGAGAAACUCUGGUUUUCACUGAGCAGUAAAUAACUGUGGUUAAACAUAUUCUGCUAUUCCACUGGCAGCAAAGUUAGUUUUUUUCUCUGUGAAUUAUAUACUUUAAAUGUUACAGCAAGAGAAGGUAAAGGGUAGCUCUUCUCUUAGUUUUCAAAAAUUGUCAUAAUUUUUAGAGCUCUUUUCUUAACAAUUGAGUGCUGGCUCAGUUAUCCUUUGUUUUUCGCUACGUCUAAUUGAUUUCACUUAUUUAGGCGUAAGCCGUAGCAGUUAGCUCUAUUACAUACCUGUCAGCUUCAAUUCCGUUCCUCCAAGUCAUGCACUGUCUAUUCUGCUGUGUACCAGAGCCAGUCGGAGGCAUCAUCUGGAUGCACAAGAUCUGCAGCUGAUUUGGAGCUAUCCCUUUGUAUCUUCUGGCUUUAAUUAACAAAAAAGUUUUGCCUUUUCCUCUCCUUUUUUCUACUUCUGAUUGAUCUUGGCUGACCCACAGGAUUUCACAUGAAACAAAAGUUUUUUCCUAAAGCUCCUUUGAGCAUAUGUCAUGUUGUUUCCUAAAUUCGUUAACAGUUCCAUCUGUUUAGCAAUCUUCAUUUUCAAACAUCAUAUCAUAAGAUAUUCAGGAACUGUAAAAGGUCAUUUAGGCCUUAAAGCUUUGUUCUCACUAUCUCUGAGAGUUCUGUACCCAGCUAUCUCACAUUCUAUCUGGUCUCUUGGGCAAUAUAUUUUAAUAAGCCUCUAAUGCCAAAGUUAAUUAUCUGAAUCUGCAAAUUCAAGCUCCUAAGCAUCCUUUUCCUUCUUUGCCUCUAAAAUACAGAGAAGUAUCUCAUGUUCUUAAUUACAGUUUGUUUUCUUUUGGCCAUUAGCCACACAUUAGUAAUGUGUUUAGAAGCAAGUCAUUUUGCAGCUUACGUGACCAGUAUCAAUUAUUACUGGUUUGUUCUGUCUGCUUUGCAUGGAACCCCCGGGCAUUUGCUGGUGGGAUGUGGUUCUGUACUAGCCAGGGUUGAAGCCACCUGCUGAGAGACCUCUGUGAAUAGAGGAAAUCUCAGAAUAUGGCACAUGGCCACAAAGAUGCCUAUGAAGCCAUUCAGUUCAAUAUUUCAUCGCUGACAGUGGCUGUUGUCAAGUAGCAAAGGAAUGAGAACGCACCCGCAGUUCAACCCUUCUGCUCUCACCCUCAGCUCAGAGACGUGGCAGCCACAUUUGUGCAGAUUAGCCCCAGAAGUGCAUUUCUUCCCUGUAUUGGUUUAAUUGCUCUUGAACCUUUCUAUGACUUUAUUAUCCAUAACAUCCUAUAAUAGUCAGUUCUUCAGUUUAAUCGGGACUGCACAAGAAAAAAAACUUUGACCUUUGCCUAUUCUUAAAUUAAACAAAUUAAUUUAUUGCACACUCCCAAACUCUUCUGUUGCAAGAAAUAGUGAAUAAUUGCUGCCUAUUAACUUCUUCUAUCUUGUUCAUAACUUUCUCCCAUGACAUCCCACCUCAUGCAUCGCUUUCCCAAACAGAUUAUGUUAAUCUAUUGAAUCUCUCCCCACAUGGAACCUGCUCCUAUAUGCCUUUCCUAGCACUACCACAUAUAUCACAUUGAUUGAAUAACUAUCUACUUGAUUUCUAGUUUGAGUUGGAUCAGUUGAAUUGUAUAAAGUCAUCUCUAUGUAAUGCAUGUAAGAAAAACCUAUCCAAAAUCGUGCUUUGAUGUUACUUCAGAUACAACUUUAGAUGAGAGAUUAAACUAAAGCACUAAAUAGAGUCCCACUGUGAAUACACACAUUUCCAUGGGGCAGUACUUAGGUUUCUCUUCACUUUCGAAACAUAUCUUUGAAACAUUUUGAAAGUGUUAAGUCUGAGACACGAAACAUGCGAGAGAAAUGAGACCCUUUAAUUGUGCAUUCAUUGCUUUUAUUGGGCAAAUAAAGUCCUUUCCCUCAUUUGCUGCUCAUUAGCAUGGGCUAGGCAUCAGGCUGAAUUGUUCCAAGAGCAGUAAACCCAAUAUCUGUGUAAUCAGGAGCCUUAUGAAGGGCUGUCCACUGAGCAGGAAAGGUGAUAACUCCAGUUACAGAAGCUAAUUUCAGAUGAAGGCUUCCGAGGAUUUGUGCUAAUUAUAUUUGAAACAGUUACUUCUGCUUAAAUAUAGUUAGGAAUCUGAUCCAAUUAAACCAGUCAUCUCUUGAUGGCUGGAUAUUGAUUAAAAAUGGAUGAUGUUUCUUAUACAGUCAACUGAGAAGAUGCUCUCAAGCUGUUCCCACGUACUUUCACAGCUAGUGGAAUAACAACAAGACUUCAGGAUGUUUUGGGAUGGAGGUAAAGGUGGGGAAAGUUUCAAGACUGGCUCUAGGGAAAGCAGUGGGUCUGUGAGAUGACUACUGGAGAGAUGGGCCCACAGUAGCUGUGGGAGAAUUUGUGAAGUCAGAAGGUUGCUUAGAAGAUCUUCCUGUAUGUGUGCUGACAGCAGCUAAAGAUGGGAGCAAACGGAGCUAGCUACUGGGCUGACUGUGCAAGCCUACUUGCUGGAGAGAUCCAUAUAGCAUAUAUACAUGUAUACGCAUGGCUGGACAUCCAUCAUGAUCAACUAGAGGGAGACUCUCUGAGGCAUUGGUACAUCCAUGUUAACAUGGUUGUUGCCAACUAUAUAAACCUCCAUAGGUGCAUGUGUGUUUAUGAUGUGCCUACAAGAAAUGCAUAUUCAGUCUGACCACUGGACCUUGGAAGCAUGAAGUUACAGCUGCCUCACCUCUGCUCACCUACUGGACUGGGGGAUUCAAAAUGAUUUCAAAGGUGAAUGAGAAAAAAUUUUGUCAAGAUACAAUUGCUAAAUGGCCCAGUGAGUCUUCUUUUCUUAUGUGUGUGCAUUCUGCAUUUAGUUGUUGAAAUUUACUAGGUUAAAUCAAAGUUUCUAGCUAUUUCAACAUCUUUAGGAGAGUGCUGAUGGCUCAGGCUUAAGGUUUCUGAUAUUCAAGAUUAGGGAAAAUUCAUUGACUAUUACUAAAGAAAAGCUUGAAUUCAGUUCAGAUGUAUUGAAUUAGUGCAGCUUUGAUAGAAUUGACUAUGAUGUUUCAAUUGGCCCCAGAAUCAAAGAUUUUUACAAUGCAAGCAUAGGGUUUUCUUUGGCUUUGUUAUAGUGUACAGUUGUACCUUUAAAAACACAAAUUAACCCAUCCCUUCAUUUCCCUCUGCUUGUUCCCAGCUGAGCUGCUUUAGGGGAAUCAUCAGAGUUGCUGUGAUUAUGUCAGAGGUAUGAAAAGUAAAUUACAGUCUGUGUGUUACCUGUUAUUUUUACCAAAUAAGAACCUACAACUGAGUGGUAAUUACCACACUGACUGUCUCUACAUUGUUGCGUCCUUAGAGGCGGUUAAAUAAUAUGUUGUACUUUCUUGUGAAUAGUAAUAACAUCCUGAACAAUUUUAGUUGUUCACCUUAAGAUCUGUCUCAUGGAAAUCAUUAGCCAAAGCCCUACGUUAUGGUGAAGAUCUGGCUGGGUAGGACAUCAGCCACUAGUGUUAGUAGCAAUCUGUUGGGAAAAUGAUUCUGAACAUGUAAAUGAGAAAGAUGAUGCAUUUCAGAUCACCUUUGAAAACAAAGGAGAAAUAAACAACCCAGCUGGGAUUCAGUGGCAUUUUCUGAUUUGUGUAGGUCCUGUUCCCACCUCGUUACCAGCAUGUGUGCAAACAGUGGCCAUGCAUUUUGUACUGAUUAGCCUGACGGUUUGAAAGAUUAUCUUGGUUUGACGUGUAACAGUGAAUGCAAUUAGGAAAAUAGGACCAUAUGUUAUGAGGACCUUAGCUGGAUAAUGAGAAUGGAGAAAUAUGAAAAGUGUGUUCCAAAGUCUCAGUGAAAUGAUACGUUUAGCAAACAGAGGCUGUCAAAUCUCAACUGACUAGACAGAAGGGCUGUUACAUGUAGUUAUUACUGCAGAGGAUUUACAGGACGUGGUGAGUUAAUGGCACAUAAUUUCACAAAGCAAAGACAAAUAAGUUAACAAAAACAGAGUCAUCAAGAGUCUGCUCAACAGAAAACAUUGUCACGGUCACUAAUCCCAUUUAGCUAUAACUUUUAAAGUUACAAAUAACACAUCUUAAAGACAGAGCCUGCAAAUCAUGAUAAUUUGUAAGUUGCUUUAAAAAUGGGAAAAUGGGCAUCAAACCAAUGCGAACUUUGUGCACCACUUUUCCUGGCCAGUCACAGGUAGAAAAAUGUGUCCUGAGUAGUUCUCAGGACACUGUUCUCCAGUGUUUUCAACCUCUAUCUAUGAAUUCACUCUCUGUGCUACCUUGUCAUUUAGUACCAUCCCUCUUCUUUCCACAAGAACAAGGAUGGUAGCCAUGUCUACACACCUACAUACAAUGAGAGUUUUCUAAGAUUUGUGCAUUUGAUUGUUCCCUGUUAAACUCGAAGUUUGUUCCCUUUGAAUAUCACCAUAGCACCUUUAUUUUAUUUUAUAUUUUAUUUAAUUUUAUAUUUUUCUCCUGGAUCAAUUCCACAACUCAUUGAGAUCUUUUUGAAUUUGAGUACUGGCCUAAGAAAAUAGUUUUCUCUCACGCAGUUUUUUGAUGAUCUUGUUUCAUCUCCUACCUACCCAUUCCCCUAUUAAGUUCCAGUAGUUUGAAAGUAGUUUAUUUAAUGAUUUAUUCCAAUCUUUUUUCUGUUAAGAGAGGCUAAGUGGGUUGGUUUGCAAAUCUGUCUCUUCUGUUUAUUCAGUAUGUUAAAGGCUUUUGUAAUCUUCCAGUCUUUCUUUUCCUCACCCAUUUUCAGUACAUCCUACCUGACAAACUCAAAGUCAGAAAGAGCUAUCUAUCAUAAGCAAUCUUGUAAAGCAUUAUCCAAAAGUGUACAAUCUAUUGACAAGUGUUGCUUAAAAUCUGCAUGCUUCAUUUUUCAAAACAUCAACAGCAAUCCCUCUGGGAUCAGACAAAUGCAAACACUUGGAGAAAAGAUGAAGUCAGCAGAAACCACUGGUGUGCUACAGGAUUAACCAAGGAUUAUUAAAUAUUUAAAAGAGACUUUUUACUUGCUCAAAGUGAUUGGACUUUUUCUCCUGUGAUUUUGUCAUUACUCUUAAACACAGAGAAGAAUUUUUUUUCUAACAGUUUUCUAAUUAAAAACAAAAUAAAAAUCCCUAAUAAAAUAACGACUACUUCUUGAGGCCAUCAGCCCUCCCAGUUAGUCAUUAAUGCCAAGGAAAUGAGCCAGACUUGAUUGUUAUUGCUACAAUGUACUGCUGAUGUAAUUUAGAGCUUCCUAGAAACAGAUUUCUUGAAUAUAUUCUAGUCCUCCUGGUCUACCUGAGAAUGUGUGUAUGAAUUUAUCCACAUAAAAAUUAGAAUAUGAUCACAGUAAAGAAACUCAAGGAGUUACUGAGGAAAAAAAAAAAAAAA